rnacentral:lncRNA from 1 species
UCGAACGAGUAGUUUAAACCUAUCGAUUUUGGAUAUCAUUUAUCUACUUUGAAACCAUUGCUAUUAUUAUAACUAGGAUAUAAAAAUACGAUUUGUUUUUCAAUCGAAAUUAAGCUAGGAGUCUCAUUAACCAACCACUAGUUUGAAUUGAACAAGCAAAAAUAUCAUUCUUUUAGAUCCGAACUAAGCCUUCGUAAUUCGGAAUUUUUUUCGAAUUUAGGGUUUAUUAAAUAUCAUUCUUUUAGAUCCGAACUAAGCCUUUCGUAAUUCGGAAUUCUCCCCAAGAGCAAGGUGGGAAGUUCUUGG